rnacentral:rRNA from 1 species
UACGUAGGGUCCGAGCGUUGUCCGGAAUUAUUGGGCGUAAAGAGCUCGUAGGCGGUUUGUCGCGUCUGCUGUGAAAUCCCGAGGCUCAACCUCGGGUCUGCAGUGGGUACGGGCAGACUGGAGUGCGGUAGGGGAGAAUGGAAUUCCCGGUGUAGCGGUGGAAUGCGCAGAUAUCGGGAGGAACACCUAUGGCGAAGGCAGCUCGCUGGGACGUUACUGACGCUGAGACGCGAAAGCGUGGGGAGCAAACAGG